rnacentral:rRNA from 1 species
GACGAACGCUGGCGGCGUGCUUAACACAUGCAAGUCGAACGGAAAGGCCCUGCUUUUGUGGGGUGCUCGAGUGGCGAACGGGUGAGUAACACGUGAGUAACCUGCCCUUGACUUUGGGAUAACUUCAGGAAACUGGGGCUAAUACCGGAUAGGAGCUCCUGCUGCAUGGUGGGGGUUGGAAAGUUUCGGCGGUUGGGGAUGGACUCGCGGCUUAUCAGCUUGUUGUUGGGGUAAUGGCUUACCAAGGCUUUGACGGGUAGCCGGCCUGAGAGGGUGACCGGCCACAUUGGGACUGAGAUACGGCCCAGACUCCUACGGGAGGCAGCAGUGGGGAAUAUUGCACAAUGGGCGGAAGCCUGAUGCAGCAACGCCGCGUGCGGGAUGACGGCCUUCGGGUUGUAAACCGCUUUCGCCUGUGACGAAGCGUGAGUGACGGUAAUGGGUAAAGAAGCACCGGCUAACUACGUG